AGAGUGAACGCUGGCGGUAGGCCUAACACAUGCAAGUCGAACGGCAGCACAGUGGUAGCAAUACCAUGGGUGGCGAGUGGCGGACGGGUGAGGAAUACAUCGGAAUCUACCUUUUCGUGGGGGAUAACGUAGGGAAACUUACGCUAAUACCGCAUAAGACCUUCGGGUGAAAGCCGGGACCUUCGGGCCUGGCGCGGAUAGAUGAGCCGAUGUCGGAUUAGCUUGUUGGCGGGUAAAAGCCCACAAGGCGACGAUCCGUAGCGGGUCUG
rnacentral:rRNA from 1 species